UACGUAGGGUGCAAGCGUUAAUCGGAAUUACUGGGCGUAAAGCGUGCGCAGGCGGUUUUGUAAGUCUGUCGUGAAAUCCUCGGGCUCAACCUGAGAAUUGCGAUGGAGACUGCAAGGCUAGAAUCUGGCAGAGGGGGGGUAGAAUUCCACGUGUAGCAGUGAAAUGCGUAGAGAUGUGGAGGAACACCGAUGGCGAAGGCAGCCCCCUGGGUCAAGAUUGACGCUCAUGCACGAAAGCGUGGG
rnacentral:rRNA from 1 species